rnacentral:rRNA from 1 species
GAUGAACGCUGGCGGCGUGCUUAACACAUGCAAGUCGAACGAUGAAGCCCAGCUUGCUGGGUGGAUUAGUGGCGAACGGGUGAGUAACACGUGAGUAACCUGCCCUUGACUCUGGUAUAAGCCUGGGAAACUGGGUCUAAUACUGGAUAUGACUUCUCAUCGCAUGGUGGGGGGUGGAAAGAUUUAUUGGUCUUGGAUGGACUCGCGGCCUAUCAGCUUGUUGGUGAGGUAAUGGCUCACCAAGGCGACGACGGGUAGCCGGCCUGAGAGGGUGACCGGCCACACUGGGACUGAGACACGGCCCAGACUCCUACGGGAGGCAGCAGUGGGGAAUAUUGCACAAUGGGCGCAAGCCUGAUGCAGCGACGCCGCGUGAGGGACGACGGCCUUCGGGUUGUAAACCUCUUUCAGUAGGGAAGAAGCGAGAGUGACGGUACCUGCAGAAGAAGCGCCGGCUAACUACGUG